GCCUUGCUCUAAUUAUUUGGUAUAUUACAUUAAUUGAUUUUCAGAGAUUAAACUAACCUUGCAUACCUGUGAUAAAUUCCACUUGGUCAUGGUAUAUAAUUCUUUUUAUAUG